UUGAUUUCUUACAGCGCGAAGCAACAUAGAGUGAAACCUGUCUGAGGCUGUGUUUACAUGAGAAAUUUCAACCCGGGUCGAGUUCAGCCCGGGUUGAAAGUCUGUACGAUAGACAAAAGAGGUGAGCGUUUAUGUUGUGCGCGUUCUGUCGAUUUGGAAAAUCGAUCGAUUUUCUUGCGCGAUCUGUCGAUCGACAGAUCGCGCAAGGAUCGAUCGAUCGGAAAGCGGUGGCGAAACCAUUCAAAACAAAUCGAUCGAUUUGGAGCAGCUCCGAAACGUCGUACAGUGUAUGUUUAGGACUUUGGUGAACAGCUUUUCAAAUGAAAGAAACCAGUUACGGUACCUUUUCUGAGUGCAAUCUUCUUCCCCAAAUAAUUCAAAAAUCAGUUCCUUCCGAAAAUUCCAUCGUGCUGGACCUCGAAGCUGAACGUCAUAAGCAAAUAGUCAAGCCGUGUGUCGUCUGGAUAUGCAGUUGUUUGUCAUAGCCAACAUUCUUCUGGUCCGUUCGUCCUGCCAUUUUCCUGACGAUCGCAAUGAAUACGAGCAGCUCUCAUGCUCAGGAUUCUGAAAGCUAGAGGAAUCCCACUAGCCCCAAGCACUGAGCUCGCGGCUUCCAGCCACGAAUCAGGCAUGGUGUAUCACGACAUCUAUAUGUUUUGCAUCCAUUUGAUUACUAGUACCGUAAAGUACCGCCAGAGCGCCCCACUAUCUCGUCCUUUCGUGGUCGUAUUGUGUAGAUGGUCUCCCGUCUGUAGGUCAUACGACACGAACUUCGUACACAUAUUGCACGUUGUGCAGACAAUCCGUACCUUCGAGCGGACACGAGCUCCACACAAAAACCUUCCUCUGACGUUAGUACACCAUACACACUUCGUUGCAUUCUGCCGUACGAUUUUCCUUUCCCUGGACCCUGGCUGUAAAAUCAAGGUGGGGCACUCUCGCGAGACGGGGCGCUCUGGCGGUACUUUACGGUAUACCAUUCACACAUAACAUGAUCUCGCUGUGCCCAUGGUGCACUGUAGACUCAACAUCCCGCUUUAAAGUAAGCUUCACAAUCACACGUUAAUGCUCCUAACAUGUUAUCUCGCACUUGAUGGCAUUACUCUAUUUCUGCCUUUAGUAUUACUUGUAGACUCUACACUAUCGCUCAUCGCGUAUUUGACUCUACUCUUUUUCACUGCUAUUAUUAUGCUACGUUGAUGCUCAAUGUUAAUAUUGUGUGAGUCAAGUGUGCGCCCAGUGCCAGUUGACAGCCCAGUGUUCACAGCUGCACAACGUUCCGCACGGCAUUCACUCGCUUCAUUGGACUUCAUUGAGCACCACUGUAGUAUUCUGUGUUGGUUGAUCAGCCCUUCUAGUGACGACUCCUGUCUGUCACUCUGUCUUGAAAGGGACUUUUCGGCUUUGUA